GACGAACGCUGGCGGCGUGCUUAACACAUGCAAGUCGAACGGAAAGGCCCUGCUUUUGUGGGGUGCUCGAGUGGCGAACGGGUGAGUAACACGUGAGUAACCUGCCCUUGACUUUGGGAUAACUUCAGGAAACUGGGGCUAAUACCGGAUAGGAGCUCCUGCUGCAUGGUGGUGGUUGGAAAGUUUCGGCGGUUGGGGAUGGACUCGCGGCUUAUCAGCUUGUUGGUGGGGUAGUGGCUUACCAAGGCUUUGACGGGUAGCCGGCCUGAGAGGGUGACCGGCCACAUUGGGACUGAGAUACGGCCCAGACUCCUACGGGAGGCAGCAGUGGGGAAUAGUGCACAAUGGGCGGAAGCAUGAUGCAGCAACGCCGCGUGCGGGAUGACGGCCUUCGGGUUGUAAACCGCUUUCGCCUGUGACGAAGCGUGAGUGACGGUAAUGGGUAAAGAAGCACCGGCUAACUACGUG
rnacentral:rRNA from 1 species